UAAUACGUAGGGUGCGAGCGUUAAUCGGAAUUACUGGGCGUAAAGGGUGCGCAGGCGGUCUCGUAAGCUGGGUGUGAAAGCCCCGGGCUUAACCUGGGAAUGGCAUUCAGGACUGCGAGGCUUUGAGUGCGGCAGAGGGAGGUGGAAUUCCACGUGUAGCAGUGAAAUGCGUAGAGAUGUGGAGGAACACCGAUGGCGAAGGCAGCCUCCUGGGCCAGCACUGACGCUCAUGCACGAAAGCGUGGGGAGCAAACAG
rnacentral:rRNA from 1 species